AGAGUUUGAUCAUGGCUCAGGACGAACGCUGGCGGCGUGCCUAACACAUGCAAGUCGCACGGGCUUGGGGGGCAACUCCCAAGUUAGUGGCGAACGGGUGCGUAACACGUGAGCAACUUGCCCUACGGUGGGGGAUAGCCGGCCCAACGGCCGGGUAAUACCGCAUAUGGCGCUUGGGUCGCAUGGCCCGGGCGGGAAAGCGGCCGCAAGGUCGCGCCGAAGGAGGGGCUCGCGGCGUAUCAGCUAGUUGGCGGGGUAAUGGCCCACCAAGGCUACGACGCGUAGCUGGUCUGAGAGGAUGGCCAGCCACAUUGGGACUGAGAUACGGCCCAGACUCCUACGGGAGGCAGCAGUGGGGAAUAUUGCGCAAUGGCCGCAAGGCUGACGCAGCGACGCCGCGUGUGGGAUGAAGGCCUUCGGGUUGUAAACCACUGUCGGGGGGGACGAAUACUCGGCUUCGAACAGGAGACCGAGGGUGACGGUACCUCCAAAGGAAGCACCGGCUAACUCCGUGCCAGCAGCCGCGGUAAUACGGAGGGUGCGAGCGUUGUCCGGAAUCACUGGGCGUAAAGGGCGCGUAGGCGGCCGCGUAAGUCACUUGUGAAAUCCCGGGGCUCAACUCCGGGGCCGCAGGUGAGACUGCGUGGCUAGAGCUCAGUAGAGGCGAGCGGAAUUCCCGGUGUAGCGGUGGAAUGCGUAGAUAUCGGGAAGAACACCGGUGGCGAAGGCGGCUCGCUGGGCUGAUGCUGACGCUGAGGCGCGAAAGCGUGGGGAGCAAACAGGAUUAGAUACCCUAGUAGUCC
rnacentral:rRNA from 1 species